UACGGAGGGAGCUAGCGUUGUUCGGAAUUACUGGGCGUAAAGCGCACGUAGGCGGCUUUGUAAGUUAGAGGUGAAAGCCCGGGGCUCAACUCCGGAAUUGCCUUUAAGACUGCAUCGCUUGAAUCCGGGAGAGGUGAGUGGAAUUCCGAGUGAUAGAGGUGAAAUUCGUAGAUAUUCGGAAGAACACCAGUGGCGAAGGCGGCUCACUGGACCGGUACUGACGCUGAGGCACGGAAAGCGUGGGGAGCAAACAGG
rnacentral:rRNA from 1 species